AAGUAUCAAGAACUUUAUUUAGGCAACACUGUAGAGAUGAACUCAUCUCCAGGCUUAGUGACUGUGGUACUUUUAGUGCUUGGACGAUCCUGUGGAGACUCAGUGACCCAGACAAAAGGCCAAGUCACCCUCUCAAAAGAGGACUCCCUGACCAUGAACUGCUCCUAUGAAGCCACAGGUUACCCUGCUCUCAUGUGGUAUGUUCAGUAUCCUGGAGAAGGUCCAAUGCUCCUUCUGAAAGCUGAAACGGCCAAUAAGAAGGGACUCAACAAAGGUUUUGAAGCCACAUACCGUCAACAACCAAAUUCCUUCAACUUGGAGAAAAACUCAGUGGACGAGUCAGAUUCAGCAGUAUACUACUGUGCUCUGAGUGACACAGUGACAGAAACUUCAGGGGAAGCUGAGCAUAAACUUUGUGCAGAACAAGGGACAUGGCUGCUGAGUCCUCUAGUGAAUUUUAUUAUUUAAUAUCAAAUACACAGUACCUCUUAACAUAAAAA